UCGAAUUUUAUUUCAUUUCUUCCGUAUUUUUGCUACCGGUUUCGUCUCAAGAGAAAAUUAGAGGAUUAUGGUUUUUGCAAAAUCGACAUUUCCUGAACGAGAAGAAGAAUUUAGUAAGAUUUCGAGACGCGAUGAAGAAAAAUCCAGAGAAGAGCAAGAUGAAGAGUGUAUCUGUUCCUUACAGGGAUAUAAGUGUUGAUGUGUUAGGUUCCAAGUUGGAUAAACAGACUUUCCCCAACAUAUGCAGUGACCUGAUUAAUCUGAAAAUGUUCGAAAACAUGGUGCAUACUAGAUUAUGGUUGGGUAAUAGACAACGGGUUAAUCUGAUGUGGUGGAGUGAUGACCCAAAUUUCCUAGUAUAUUUAUGUUCUGAUGAAGAUUUUGAAAGGUAGCAGGUCACAACAAAUCAACUUGUAAAGGAGGUGAAGUUGGAAAGAAUCCAAAGGGAAAGAGGCCAAGAACUCAAGUAAAUGCAGCUGAUUUUAGUUUCUCAUAUCCAUCACAACCCAGUAAAGCAAAGACGGUGAAGAAGACUGCAGGUGAAUCAUCUAAAGCUGCUGCAUCUAAGAGGAAGGUUUCACAAACUGUGACACACCCAAAGCAUGGAUCUGUUUCACAAACUGUCACACAAAGUAUUCAAACACAGGGGAAGGCUAAGAAGACCAAGAAAAAUUGAUUUUGUGAGUGUUUAUCCUUAUUUUUCCAACUUCAGUUUUAUUCCUGGCUUUUAAUUGAUUAAAACAAGGAAAUAUUCAUCUUUCGAACAACUUCAGUGGUUCAUCUUGGAAAUGGAUUAUGUAAUGUUUAUCCAUAUUUUUUCAACUUCAGUUUGGAUUUGUUUCUUCUUGGCUUGUAAUUGAUUCAAACUUGGAGAUAUUUAUCUUUUGAACAACUUCAAUGGUUAUGAUUUUCAA